GGGCUCAUAGGUAAACGGUAUACCGCUACAUUCGCAUUGUAGAAUUCUGGGUUCAAUUCCCAGUGAGUCCACUA
rnacentral:tRNA from 1 species